rnacentral:SRP_RNA from 1 species
GCCCCAACAAUGUGGUGGAAUGUUGGGUUGAUCCUGAAGGCUGGACUUUGGGUGGCUAAUGCCUGGCGUGCCCUAUCCAAGAAUGGAGUUGAGUCACGUGGCCCAAAUGUAAGUAUGGGCUGCUUGGCUCCUAGAGUGGGGCGAACUGCGUGAGGCUGGUUUCACAGAGCAACGAGCAGUUCCCGCUCUAUGCAGUGGAAGGAUAACGAGCCGGUGGUAUCCAAGUCCAAUAAAAACUUAAUGGGUUUCUCUAAUCAAACCACCACUUUU